rnacentral:rRNA from 1 species
UGAAGAACGUAGCAAAAUGCGAUACUUGGUGUGAAUUGCAGAAUCCCGUGAACCAUCGAGUUUUUGAACGCAAGUUGCGCCCGACGCCAUUCGGCUGAGGGCACGCCUGCCUGGGCGUCACGCAUC